rnacentral:sRNA from 2 species
GGAAAUUGCUUCUAGGGUUCCGGUCUCGCAUUGCUGGCCUUGCCGGCAGCUGAGGGAUGGCUGGUCCGAGAGAAGCGCACCCACCGGAGCUUGAGGACCCUGUUCUCACCGGUGCGUGGCACGGAGGGACAAAAGCCCGGGAGAC